UGAUGAUGAUGAAGAUGCUGAUAGUAAUCAUAAUACUAUUUUAAAUAAUGCACACCAUUUUAUUUAGUAUUUAUUAAGUCCAGGGCCUUAAGUGAUACAAUGAGGAAUUUGAUCUUACCAGCAACUCUGCCAGGUCAUUACCAUCCCCGGCUUAUGGAUGAGGAAACCGAGGCUCAGAAAAGGUGAGAUACAUUUCUCUAAGUGCAUCUUGUGGCUGCAAGUGGGAGAGGCAGGGCCUGAAUCUGGCCAAGAGAUCUCAGGACAAAGCUAAAUCGCAUUUCCAAAGCCAGUCCUUAGACUUGUUCAAGUGUAAGCAGCUUUCACUAAACAGAAGUUUGAUGAGCCGAGCAGGAGUGAAUCAGAAACACGAGGCUGAUGUUUGUCUUCAUCUGCAAGGGGGUUUGGCAGUCUCCAGGCUCCCUUGGCAAGCAGGAUUUGGGCGCUGCCAAAACCUGGAGCUCUGGCGUGAUAGCGUGACCCUUCCGGUCAGGCCAGGCCUCCCGCCCGCCUUCCUGCUGUUCAAAUCAGAGUCUCGGCCUCUCAUGGCCUCUCCUGCUGCUUCACCCUUGAGCCCCGAGGACAGAGUGGCAGGAGGCGUCUCUGUAACCACAUCACGUGUGGGGGAAAAAUGGCACAGAGCGCUCUUUCCUGGAGCGCGGUCAAUGCAGCAGUACCCCAGGUGCCAGGAAACCCAAGCCUUGGAAACUGUGGCUGCAGGUUCCAUCCCCAGGUUGUGGGUGUGGACCACAUUUGCACCAGCAGCUGGACAAAGGGGCCUCUCCACAGUGUGUCUUGGGCUUCCUCACAGCAUGGUGGCUGACUUCUAAGAGUGAGAAUACUAAGAGGCAGAAGGGGAGAUGUGCCAACUUCUUAAAGCCCAGACCUAGAAACUGUACUGGGGAACCGCUGCCAUGUGCUAUUGGUCUGCUUAGAAUCAAGGAAGGGAGCAGAGAUCUCAUCUCCUAAUGGGAGAAGAGUCAAAGAAUUUGGGGGGACAUAUUUAAAAAACCCACAGCUCCUAACUUAGAAGCUUGGGAUUAUCACAUACACAUUACCGUAUAAUGAAAUAAUCAACAAGGACCUACUGCAUAGCGCAGGGAACUCUACUCAGUAUUCUGUGAUAAUCUGUAUGGGAAAAGAAUCUGAAAAAGAGUAGAUAUAUGUAUAUGUAUAACCAAACCAACCACUUUGCUGUACACGUGUGACUAACACAACAUUGUAAAUCAAUUAUAUUCCAAUAGAAAAUAAAAGUUAAAUUAAAAAGAUUAUGGCACAAGGAACUAUAUUUGAUAUCCUGUGAUAAACCAUAAUGGAACAGAAUAUGAAAAAGAGUGUAUAUAUAUAUGUGUGUGUGUGUGUGUGUGUGUGUAUAACUGAGCCACUUUGUUGUACAGCAGUGAUUAAUACAACAUUGUAAAGUAGUUACACUUGGGUAAAAAUUAAAAAAUAG
ensembl:lncRNA